rnacentral:lncRNA from 1 species
GUAGCUUUCCAGAGCUGCAGCUUUUCACUGCAGUGCAGAGAUGCUCUUCCAGCUGGCUUUCUGCCAAGGAGAAAUGAAACAGGAGACAUGCAAACUGGAGUGGAAGCUUAGAAAGAAUAUCCAAACAGAGACUAUUUGGGGAAGACUUUACAAUUAAAACACUAGUUCUGCAAAUGUGAUCCAUUUGCAUUCUUCUACUGUACCAUCAAUUAAUAGAAUGAUGGUAUUUCUGUUGCUUUCUAAUGUGAAUCAGAGAUAUCUGUGGCCAUGGUAGAAUUGCAGUAGAAAAGGCUUGUAUCCUCAGUGUGUGUGCACUGCAUGAGACAGUCAAAUUCGGUAUUUCCAAUUUACUGAGUUCCUCCUUUCCCCUGUAAAUUCACACUCCAGAACCAUAUAAUAGAACUGUAUAGAAAUUAUGGCAUAAGCUUCUGCUUUCAUGCACUGCAGCAGUAGCUGGCACCAUCAUGAAAAUCAAAAGCUGACUGUGCUGAAUGCAGAUAUUAGAGGUCCUGACAAACACCACAGAAGGAGAGUGGCAAAAGCAGACUAAAGGAUUACUUCAAACGGAAGGACAACGAGUCACAGAAAGUGUGGCAAGAUACUAUCUCCUGUGCAAUUUGGAACAAAGCUCUGAUCAAGGCCAGGAUAUAAGGGCUGAUGAAAUUAUCAGCCCCGUCUGGCAUGAUGGAAUAUCUGAGCGUUCUCUUGUGGCAUUCAUGUGGUGAACGCUUUCGUGUGGGCAGCCUUCGACAGAUUAAGGACACAUAUACCUUGCGUUACCGGUAAGAGCCGUU